UAACCUACCCAUCAGAGGGGGAUAACACUUGGAAACAGGUGCUAAUACCGCAUAACAGUUUAUGCCGCAUGGCAUAAGAGUGAAAGGCGCUUUCGGGUGUCGCUGAUGGAUGGACCCGCGGUGCAUUAGCUAGUUGGUGAGGUAACGGCUCACCAAGGCCACGAUGCAUAGCCGACCUGAGAGGGUGAUCGGCCACACUGGGACUGAGACACGGCCAG
rnacentral:rRNA from 1 species